GGAGGAAAAGAAACCAACAGGAAUUCCCUUAGUAACGGCGAGCGAACAGGGAAGAGUCCAGCGCCGAAUUCCGCGCUCUCUGCGGGCGUCGGAAAAUGUGGCGUUUAGGAGGGAGCGUGCCGGGAGUCUGACCUUGCAGCAAGUCCCCCUGACCGGGGCAGUUACCCAGAGUGGGUGCGAGGCCCAUAGCUGCUCGGUCUCUCUCGGAUGCGACCUCUUGGGAGUCGGGUUGCUUGGGAGUGCAACCCUAAUUGGGUGGUAAACUCCACCUAAGACUAAAUACGGCCGUGAGACCGAUAGCAAACAAGUACCGUGAGGGAAAGUUGCAAAGAACUUUGAAGAGAGAGUUCAAGAGUACGUGAAACUGCUCAGAGGCAAACGGGUGGGCCCUCGAAAUCCGUCGGCGGGGGAUUCAGUCGGGAGGUGCGGGCUCGUGCGCUGGUCGAUCAAUCGGACCCUUUCCAGGGCCGGGCCAGUGUCGAAGUUCCGUGCGACCCGACGCACUUCCUCCCGCCCCAAGGACGCCGCAGCCGGUUGGGUAGCUGCGCGAGUCGGCCAUAAGGACGGGCGCGGAAGGUGGCCAGUGGCGUUCUUCGUGUUCGUCGCUGGUCGUUAUCCAGCCCGCCCGUGGCGCGACACCCGACCGAGGUCGAAGGGUCCCGGUCAGGACCUUGCCGUCCCCUCCCCCGUGGUUGAGCGGGCGCGCCGACAGGCGAUUCCCCGUGCGGUCGUCCCACUCUUCGAGUGGACGGCUGGCGGGUGGCGCCGUUAGUGAGGACGCGUCCCGCGCGGGGUUUUCCGGCGGCUUGCGGCGAGUAGGUCGG
rnacentral:rRNA from 1 species